AUUGAACGCUGGCGGCAGGCCUAACACAUGCAAGUCGAGCGGAUCGGCGGUCGGGUGAGUAUUGCCUAUGAAUCUGCCUGUUAGUGGGGGAUAACGAUCGCAACCGGGCGCUAAUACUGCAUCCUCUCUGAUUAGCCUAGGUCGGAUUAGCUAGUUGGUGGGGUAAAGGCCUACCAAGGCGACGAUCCGUAACUGGGCCGAGAGGAUGAUCAGUCACACUGGGACUGAGACACGGUCCAGACUCCUACGGGAGGCAGCAGUGGGGAAUAUUGGACAAUGGGGGCAAGCCUGAUCCAGCCAUGCCGCGUGUGUGAAGAAGGUCUUCGGAUUGUAAAGCGCUUUAGGUUGGGAGGCGUUAAUAACAGAAUAAGCACCGGCUAACUCCGUGCCAGCAGCCGCGGUAAUUC
rnacentral:rRNA from 1 species